rnacentral:rRNA from 1 species
AUUGAACGCUGGCGGCAGGCUGAACACAUGCAAGUCGAGCGGAGAUGAGGUGCUUGCACCUCAUCUUAGCGGCGGAUGGGUGAGUAAUGCUUAGGAAUCUGCCUAUUAGUGGGGGACAACAUUCCGACAGGUAUGCUAAUACCGCGUACGUCCUACGGGAGAAAGCAGGGGAUCUUCGGACCUUUCACUACUAGAUGAGCCUAAGUCGGAUUAGCGAGGUGGUGGGUUAAAGGCCUACCAAGGCGACGACCUGUAGCGGGUCUGAGAGGAUGAUCCGCCACACUGGGACUGAGACACGGCCCAGACUCCUACGGGAGGCAGCAGUGGGGAAUAUUGGACAAUGGGGGGAACCCUGAUCCAGCCAUGCCGGGUGUGUGAAGAAGGCCUUAUGGUUGUAAAGCACUUUAAGCGAGGAGGAGGCUACUGAGACUAAUACUCUUGGAUAGUGGACGUUACUCGCAGAAUAAGCACCGGCUAACUCUGUGCCAGCCGCCGCCGUAAAAC